GUAGGUGGCAAGCGUUGUCCGGGAAUUAUUGGGGCGUAAAGCGCGCGCAGGCGGUUCUUUAAGUCUGAUGUGAAAGCCCACGGGCUCAACCGUGGAGGGUCAUUGGAAACUGGAGAACUUGAGUACAGAAGAGGAAAGCGGAAUUCCACGUGUAGCGGUGAAAUGCGUAGAGAUGUGGAGGAACACCAGUGGCGAAGGCGGCUUUCUGGUCUGUAACUGACGCUGAGGCACGAAAGCGUGGGGAGCAAACAGGAUUAGAUACCCUGGUAGUCCACGCCGUAAACGAUGAGUGCUAAGUGUUAGGGGGUUUCCGCCCCUUAGUGCUGCAGCUAACGCAUUAAGCACUCCGCCUGGGGAGUACGGCCGCAAAGGCUGA
rnacentral:rRNA from 1 species